rnacentral:rRNA from 1 species
GUGGGGAAUAUUGGACAAUGGGCGAAAGCCUGAUCCAGCCAUGCCGCGUGUGUGAAGAAGGUCUUCGGAUUGUAAAGCACUUUAAGUUGAGAGGAAGGGCAGUAAGUUAAUACCUUGCUGUUUUGACGUUACCAACAGAAUAAGCACCGGCUAACUUCGUGCCAGCAGCCGCGGUAAUACGAAGGGUGCAAGCGUUAAUCGGAAUUACUGGGCGUAAAGCGCGCGUAGGUGGUUUUGUAAGUUGGAGGUGAAAUCCCCGGGCUCAACCUGGGAACUGCCUCCAAAACUGCAUGACUAGAGUACGGUAGAGGGUAGUGGAAUUUCCUGUGUAGCGGUGAAAUGCGUAGAUAUAGGAAGGAACACCAGUGGCGAAGGCGACUACCUGGACUGAUACUGACACUGAGGUGCGAAAGCGUGGGGAGCAAACAGGAUUAGAAACCCUGGUAGUCC